ensembl:lncRNA
GAUAAGGUGUUUGUUCUGUAAUCUGUUUUAAGACCACCUCAACUCUCAUACACACCUUGGAUCGGCAAACAUCCCACCUUGAGGAUGUAAGAAGAUAUUUUAGAGGUGUCUUCUCUUUAUCACCACCCGAUGGUGAGUAUGCAAACCUACAAGACACUGUCUGCUGCAUCAUGUUCUCACUACAGCAUUAAAACAUACAGCCAUAUACUCUCAAAAAAGUUAUAAAUAAAUCUUAGAAUAAUGAAAGGAAUCCAGAGGUUUUUUUUCCAGCUUCAUAAUCCAAGCGUUUCUUUCCAGGUGCAUCUCGAAGGAUGCUGCUUACCUGUUCUCUUUAUCACCACCCAACGGACAGAUUUGAAUCGAUGGCAGACGGGCCCUCUAAACCCACUCCAACUUCUGUCUUUCUCUCAGCCCACUUGGGAUCUGCAGUGUAAUACACCGCAGACUAAAUCCGGUGAUACUCCUGCAGUAUUUGAAGCAUGGGUGGCUGCAUAAUGAGCAGGCAGGCAGAGGGCUUGUGCAGAGAGGAGACCAGAGAGGCAGUAAAAGUCAGCAGUGGUAACCUUGUCCGCCCAUGGUCACGGGUCAUUUGGCAAGUGCGCUACGGAAUUCAUUUCACUAAGAAGGAGAGAAUGCGAGGGGAGAGCGAACGAGAGGAAAUAGGAGGUGACUGAGAGGGACAUUGAUGGAGCAAGAAGGAGAAGAAGAAUUUGAAUAGCAACAACAGCCUGAUGUCUCUUUUAACCUUUUUUAUCCAUAAACAUGGCAGCAUUAGGCUGUUUAAUGAUCAUUGUGCAGCUAUUUCUAAUGGAUUAUCUUAGUAAACAUCACAUCACCAUAGUAUUUUUAGACGCUUUUGCAUUCUGCCAAAAUGCUUAUGUAAAUGGAGUGUUUGGCCAAAAUUGCCUCCAAGUGCACAUCAUAUAUAUAUACAUUCAUUAGUGCUGUCAAGCAAUUAGUCACAAUUAAUCGCAUCCAGAAUAAAAGUUUUUGUUUACGUAAUAUAUGUGUGUGUACUGUGUAUAUGUAUUAUGUAUAUAUAAAUACACACAAAUGCAUAUAUUUAAGAAAAAUAUGUUAUGUUUGUAUAUUAAAUAUAUGUGUUUAUAUAAUAUAAAUAUGAACAUAAACAUAUAUUUGUAAAUACAUGUAAAUAUUUUCAAAAUAUAUGCUGUGUGUGAGUGAGUGUGUGUGUGUGUAUAUAUAUAUAUAUAUAUAUAUAUAUAUAUAUAUAUAUAUAUAUAUAUAUAUAUAUAUAUCUCAAAUUUGCACUUACAUGCAUUUACUUUACUAAUAACUGUAAAUUAUUCAUAAUUAAGGAGAUACUGAUUUGAAUAGCAGCAAUUGUACUUUUACAAAACCCUGAUGUCACGUUAAACCUUUUUAAUCAAUAUACAAGGCUGAAUUUUGAAUUUUGUUGCUAUUUCUGAUUUAUCAUCUUAGUAAACAUCAUUGGUCAUACUUUCAGGCACUUUUGCACUCUGCCAAAAGUCAUUUUCAGUGUGUUAAUAAUAAUUGUUUGGCCAAAAUGGUCCCCAUGUGCACUUCACUGUUUGCUUUUUCACUCAAUAAGUAUUUGAAACAUGCCAUGAUUUUUGAUUAACAAGAACAAGUUUGUUCCAUACAGGCAGUUUGGCAAUAAGACAUUGAGUUAGCAUAACUCUUAUGACUGUGUUGCCACAGCUUUUCCGACGCAAGAAACAAAAGUAUCCUAUUUGUUUAUAAUCCAUGCCCGUUUUUUUUCUAAAACUGGCCUUCCCAGCCUGCAUGUAUGAGGUUAUUGUUGAGACUAUGCUGAGCUUUGACACGUACAUCUUUGAAAACAGAAAGGAAUAUCAGUAGACAUUCCUUGAGAAAUUAGAGAGCACAACUCAAGUUGGG